ACAAUUUUAUCUACACGCAACUUACAUGUAGUAGGCGAGGGGAUAAUAAACUAAGUUUUAUAAGAAUUAGACAAAAAGACCGAUUUCCCGCCAAUAAUUUAAAUGCAUCGUAAGCUGUACACGACGUCUUUUAGACAUCGUAUGGCCAUCGCGCCAUCAUCGUAAUCUAUCGUGUAGCCUUCGUAAUCCAUCAUGUAGCCUUCGGCUGAGAUAUGAAGCUUAAAUACCCGUCUUCGGUUAACCUUCGUAUGUCAAUCUUUUGCUAUCGUAUAUAAUUUCGGCACCAUCGUAUAGACUUCGUUAUUCAUCGUACUUGCUUCGGUCACUUUUUGGUAUUUUAACGAGAUCGGGACCAACUUCGUACGAACUUACAAUUUUCGCAUUCGGGUGUCCAUCGUAUAUAAAAAUCGGG
rnacentral:lncRNA from 1 species